CUGAUUGGUGAAAUCUCUUUCGGCCGUCUCUCGUUUGAUUGACGGUCAUAGGUCGCUGAAAGGUUAGCUGACGCGACAUUCUACUAGGUUUUGUCAGACUCGGUAUAGCGGUGUAACGAAUAAUACUGAGCCUAGAUUUACUUAGACUGCAUUUUUCCAUGAU